rnacentral:rRNA from 1 species
GCAUCGAUGAAGAACGUAGCGAAAUGCGAUACUUGGUGUGAAUUGCAGAAUCCCGUGAACCAUCGAGUCUUUGAACGCAAGUUGCGCCCAAAGCCAUUAGGCCGAGGGCACGUCUGCCUGGGCGUCACGC